GGAAGGUCCAGCCGCGGGGCUGAGCAGGGAUGUCCAGGAUUUAUGAGUGCAACCUCCAGGCUGCCGACCUUGUCACCCCCCUGGGUUUUUCAGCCACCCUGGCUCCACCACCCCCUGCCGCCGCACCUGGAGAAGGACCCACCGCCUCAUUCUGGGCCAGUUGUAAAGAUCCUUAAAAGACCCAAGAUCCUUGGAAGAUCAUGGGAAAGCCAAGUCUGCAGUCACCAAGUAAGAAGGAUCCAGGAGCGGAAUUCGCGAAAGGUGUAAAAUACAGGAAGGGGCCCGUCAGCGGCGCUGGCAGCUUCAGCCUUUCUCACCGCCGUACUCCCCGCGUUCCCACGCCAAAAAUAACCCGCAGGAAACGCAAUUGUGCUCUGAGUCCAGGCAGCGAGCGGAAUCCGAGCGUC
rnacentral:lncRNA from 1 species